rnacentral:rRNA from 1 species
GGGACGAACGCUGGCGGCGUGCUUAACACAUGCAAGUCGAGCGGUAAGGCCUUUCGGGGUACACGAGCGGCGAACGGGUGAGUAACACGUGGGUGAUCUGCCCUGCACUUCGGGAUAAGCCUGGGAAACUGGGUCUAAUACCGGAUAUGACUUCAGGUUGCAUGACUUGGGGUGGAAAGAUUUAUCGGUGCAGGAUGGGCCCGCGGCCUAUCAGCUUGUUGGUGGGGUAACGCCUACCAAGGCGACGACGGGUAGCCGACCUGAGAGGGUGACCGGCCACGACUGGGACUGAGACACGGCCCAGACUCCGUACGGGGGCAGCAGUGGGGAAUAUUGCACAAUGGGCGAAAGCCUGAUGCAGCGACGCCGCGUGAGGGAUGACGGCUUCGGUGUAAACCUCUUCAGCAGGACGAGCGCAAGUGACGUACUGCAGAAGAACG